rnacentral:rRNA from 1 species
GGUCUGAGAGGAUGAUCCGCCACACGGGGAGUGAGACACGGCCCAGACUCCUACGGGAGGCAGCAGUGGGGAAUAUUGGACAAUGGGCGCAAGCCUGAUCCAGCCAUGCCGCGUGUGUGAAGAAGGCCUUAUGGUUGUAAAGCACUUUAAGCGAGGAGGAGGCUACUUUAGUUAAUACCUAGAGAUAGUGGACGUUACUCGCAGAAUAAGCACCGGCUAACUCUGUGCCAGCAGCCGCGGUAAUACAGAGGGUGCAAGCGUUAAUCGGAUUUACUGGGCGUAAAGCGCGCGUAGGCGGCUAAUUAAGUCAAAUGUGAAAUCCCCGAGCUUAACUUGGGAAUUGCAUUCGAUACU